CCGUUUCAUUGCCAGCUGUAAGGAUGAAGCAGCUUCAUAGCCGGACAUCAGACGCCUUCUAAGUUCCCCUUUUCAGCAACAGAGGCCUAGGAUGCCAUUCUACCUGUGCUGCAUUGUGUGGCUGACCACUCCAAGGAUCUCAGCAGAAUCAUUACACAGGAAGAAGUCCUGCUGACCCCAAGCAUGGUGUGAAAUGAAGAAAUGGCACUCCACAUGCCUAGAGAGCUUCAUU
rnacentral:lncRNA from 1 species